rnacentral:tRNA from 2 species
CGAGGUGUAGCGCAGUUGGUAGCGCGCUUGCUUUGGGAGCAAGAUGCCGCAGGUUCGAGUCCUGUCACCUCGACCA